rnacentral:rRNA from 1 species
UACGUAGGGUGCGAGCGUUGUCCGGAAUUAUUGGGCGUAAAGAGCUUGUAGGCGGUCUGUCGCGUCUGCUGUGAAAAUCCGGGGCUCAACCCCGGACUUGCAGUGGGUACGGGCAGACUAGAGUGUGGUAGGGGAGACUGGAAUUCCUGGUGUAGCGGUGAAAUGCGCAGAUAUCAGGAGGAACACCGAUGGCGAAGGCAGGUCUCUGGGCCGAAAUUGACGCUGAGGAGCGAAAGCGUGGGGAGCAAACAGG